UCCAGAUAUUUUGUUUUUUAUUUAUUGAUGAUCCACGAGACAUCCUAGAGUUAAAUCAAAGUAUGUGUUUAUCUUUGUAUUCAUUCCUACACACUCUGGUAAUAUCUCUGUGGGGUCUGAUUCACUUAUUAGAGUGAAAUUCUAUUGUGAAAAACAGCCACAAAUUCGUGUCACUGGUGAAAAUGAAACUGAUAAUUUAAAUUUUGCCACCAUGAAAUAUAUACAAAUAGAUAAAUUUGAGUGACUUCACCUGCUUUGCACAGUAAAAAUAUGCUAUUUCAGGCAUCUGACACCCUCAAAAAGGCGUGCGCACUCCUCUGGCCUAGGAGCUUCAGCCUGGACAUUGUGGUUAGGUCAUUACAUACUCAAAUCAGGACUAGGUUUUGGGAGACAGGUCAGGUCAUUUUGUAGACUUGUGAUACUGGGCUAGACUGCACUGGGUACACCACACGCUGGAGUUGCACCCAGUUUAUAAUGAUAUCAUUUUGGAGCAGUGAGUGAUGGGCUUUUUUUUUACUGUAAAAAUAAAAAGUAUGUUGAUGUUUACACAGUUAAUUGACACCAAACUUGAUUUGCAGACACUACCAAACGAAGAAGAGGAGGAGGAGGAGGACUGGGAAGAAGACGAGGAACACAGGAGGAACCCAUUGAGAGAACAAGAAGAAGAAGAAGAAGAAGAAGAGGAGGACACAGGAAUUCCUUGGUUGGUGUAGCAGUGCCGGGAGGUGCCAUAACACAGGGCACUCCUCACCUCAACAACAGUCUCUUCACCGACAAGUAAUUCUUCACCAACAAGCUUUUCAGCAGCUUGGAGAAAUAGACACUACCAAACAAAGAAGAGGAGGAGGAGGAGGAGGAAGAAGAAGACGAGGAACACAGGAGGAACCCAUUGAGACAAGAAGAAGAAGAAGAGGAAGAAGAGGAAGACUGACAGACAGACAUUCCAUUGAGACAAGAAGAAGAAGAAGAGGAAGAAGAGGAAGAGGAAGACUGACAGACAGACAUUCCAUUGAGACUAGAAGAAGAAGAAGAGGAAGAAGAGGAAGAGGAAGACUGACAGACAGACAUUCCAUUGAGACAAGAAGAAGAAGAAGAGGAAGAAGAGGAAGAGGAAGACUGACAGACAGACAUUCCAUUGAGUGUGUGGUGUCCCGCAGGCAGGCAGACCGAGACGCCAGCCAUUCAAUUCUGCCGAGGGAAGGAAGUCGUGUUAGUCAACUCUGAUGACUUGUACUUUUCUCUGCAAGGGACUGUUCUGUAAGCCAGUCACAGAAGAUGUGAACUGUAUCUGUACUAUGAAGUCUUAUAAAUAAAGUUAAAGGCUACA